CCCCUAGUAACUGCGAGUGAAGCGGGAAAAGCUCAAAUUUGAAAUCUGGCGGCCUCGCCGUCCGAGUUGUAUUCUGGAGAAGCGUUUUCCGUGCCGGACCGUGUACAAGUCCCUUGGAACAGGGCGUCGUAGAGGGUGAGAAUCCCGUCUUUGACACGGACUCCCGGUGCUAUGUGAUGCGCUCUCGAAGAGUCGAGUUGUUUGGGAAUGCAGCUCAAAACGGGUGGUAAAUUCCAUCUAAAGCUAAAUAUUGGCGAGAGACCGAUAGCGAACAAGUACCGUGAGGGAAAGAUGAAAAGCACUUUGGAAAGAGAGUAAAACAGUACGUGAAAUUGUUGAAAGGGAAACGCUUGAAGUCAGUCGCGUCUGCCGGAACUCAGCCUUGCUUCUGCUCGGUGCACUUUCCGGUUCGACGGGCCAGCAUCGGUUUCGGGCGGCGGACACUGGCGUGGGGAAGGUGGCAGCUCCGGCUGUGUUAUAGCCCCGCGUCGCAAACGCCGCCUGGGACCGAGGAAUCCGGCGCAAGCCUGGGAUGCUGGCGUAAUGGCUUUAAACGACCCGUCUUGAAACACGGACCAAGGAGUGCUACACGCUCGCGAGUGUUUGGGUGGAAAACCCGAACGCGCAAUGAAAGUGAAAGUCGAUACCCCUCGCGGGGGCACCGACGCCCGAGCCUGAUGUUUUCGGAAGGCCUUGCGGUAGAGCGAGUGCGUUGCGACCCGAAAGAUGGUGAACUAUUCCUGAGGAGGGCGAAGCCAGAGGAAACUCUGGUGGAGGCUCGUAGCGGUUCUGACGUGCAAAUCGAUCGCAGGACUUGGG
rnacentral:rRNA from 1 species